GGGGAGGGAGCGAGUUUGGGGGUCAUGGUGGAGGGGUUUUAUGGCUAUCGCCGGGGCGAGGGCUGUCUGGGAGCAGUUCCCCUUGGCUGGGCAAAGGGAGCGGGUUACAUGUCACCCCGAUGGUAGACCGGGCAGGGCAGUUGCAGCCUGUGUUAUGUCUGCGUGUCUCGUCCUGUGUGUCUUAGCCCUUCCUCGGGUCUCAACGCCCUCUUUGCGCUCGAGGGGCACAGCACGCUUCUCGGGCGCCGUCCCUAGGCUCUCGAACGCUGGUACUUGUCAGCGUACCGCCAAUCGGGCGCUUCUUUUCUUGCAUAGCGAGCUUAUGGCGUGGAUCAUUCUUGCGUGUCGGAAGUUUCUGGCGGGUCUUCUAUUUGCAGCGCUAUACCAGGCUGCGUCCGGAGCUCUGCUCUCCAGCUAUCCAUUUUCAGGGACUGGGUCUUCCUGCAUCCUUACCUCCUUAGGUCUUGAAGACGGGCUUCUUGCUGCCCCCAUCAUCUCGGUUUUGACAGUAACUUCUUAUAACGGGCCAUUUACGGUCAAUUCUCUUCUGGGGUUGCCAUAGAGCUUCCUCACCAGGGCGUUGUGCCCUAUAGGUCGCCUUGUUCGGCAGCCUCUCCGGUCCGGGAGUCAUUCCUCUCACUAAGAGUGUUCUCUCGUUUGUGAGUCGCGUUGUUUGUAGCGUUCUGUGUAGCGUCCGUCUCUGUGUGUGGUGUGUGUGUGUGGAGCUGCUCUGCCCAGGGCUGUCGAGUCAGGGAUAGGCGGAAUAGCAAUAGGAGCGUACGGUUAACGUGCCGAUAUGGCCCGUCCGGAAUUGUUUGGCUCUCACUCGGCAUCUGGGUGACUUGUUUGAUAACUCGGUGUGAUUUUUCCAGAUGCGGACUGGCUAGAUGCCCACCAAAGAGCGGCAGAGGAGGAGAGCAGAGCGCCGUAAGAAGGUGGCGGUCAGGCCUCGGCACGGCAGGCCGAAGAAUCCGACUCCGAGCGGCCGAGGAAAAGGGACGGGCGAGAGGAAGGCGUUUCCAAGGAGGGCUUCGUCGCAGCGGAGGUCGACGCCGGGCGGCACGUCGGCGACCGGCGACGCUCUGUCUAGUGAGGGAUGAAGCGGGACCCGGCGGAUGGGGGAGCGUCCCGGUUAGAUGACCUUUUCGCCAUGAGAAGGGAAUCUGGAUUCUGCCCUCUGAAAGGCAGGGAAUCAGAGUAGCUAUCCAGGUGUCCGCAAGCUGCAUGUGUUUGGCCGGGGGGGUUGAAGCGGAGGAUCCAGAUUCCAUUGUAGUGGAGAGCUCUGGAACGAGAAGAAUUUUAAGCGAAGCAGGAGAGAUAGGCUGUCAAUGUGCCCGAGCUAAUAACUGUCAUCGCUCUGAGUCCUUGCUGUGGUGAUAGUGCAUCACUGGAAACCUAUGUAUUAAUGCCUAAUGUUGUUGUUCUUUAAAGAAAGUAACAAUAAAGGUGAA